CACAAUGUGAAUCCAGCCCACAUUAGUUGUAAUCCAAUUCUACCUAAAUGGGAAGCAUGUCAUCAAUGAGUUAUGUGACACUUGUGCUUUCAAAAGAAAGAACCCUAGAAAUUCAGUGAGAUCUGGUCCACAAGUUCAAAACGUUCAUUUCUAUUAAAAGGAGCCUUUCUCCCAUCCAUUACAACCAACUUUUCUCAGCUAUAAGAACUCAGAUCUGUUUGAGAUGAAUCUCAUGGAAGAACAGACUGAAUAAGUUUUGUGAUCAUCCAUCUGGUUGAAUAGACAGAGGAGAAGACUGGAGGAGAGUUGAUUUGUAGAGAACUGUAUUCAACACAAUGGAAGAGAAAACCCAGUUGGAAGAACUGAAUGUUUCAGUCUAUGAUGGUAAAUUUGGACUGCAAGUUUUUCACAAGGACAGGAUGAAAUGAAAUGAAGAGAGUGCUUACAAUUCAGAGUUCCUCCAUCUAUCACUUCUGCCCACUUCUUUAUUUGCCAAUUCUUUAAUAAGUAUUGCAGAGUUACAACUCACAAUCCUACUAUUAUAUCAACCCCCAGUUUCUUUUUCCUGUCAUAGAUAUCAUAACAGGUUUUAUCUAUAUAUAAAAUGGCCUUUCUUUGUCAAAAGAGAUCUGUGUUGUGGGCAUCUAUCUAUGUCAGAGUCUUUUGAUCGAGAUCGUUCAUACCCACAAACUAAAAAAUGGUUUUAAAUAGUCAAAUUAUGGUGACUGUAAUCCACAAAGUCAUGGUUUUAAUAAUGAGUCUUUCAAUGGGGA